UACGAAGGGGGCUAGCGUUGCUCGGAUUUACUGGGCGUAAAGGGCGCGUAGGCGGACAGUUAAGUUGGGGGUGAAAGCCCGGGGCUCAACCUCGGAAUUGCCUUCAAUACUGGCUGUCUUGAGUGUGAGAGAGGUGUGUGGAACUCCGAGUGUAGAGGUGAAAUUCGUAGAUAUUCGGAAGAACACCAGUGGCGAAGGCGACACACUGGCUCACUACUGACGCUGAGGCGCGAAAGCCAGGGGAGCAAACGGG
rnacentral:rRNA from 1 species